GAAUCAUAAUGGCCGAAAAUCUAAGGUUUCUUGGGGAAGGUUCGUCCGCCCAAGGUUAGUCGGGAGCUAAGCUCAGGCCGAAAGGCGUAGGCGAUGCACAUACGGUAGAAAUUCCGUAACCACCGAACAUUUAAGCUAGAGGGACGCUUUCAUUAAGUCUAUCCCGGGCGAUGGUUGCCCCGGGCGUAAGGGACCGAAAUAUAGUAGGGAAGUAACUGGCGAGAGAGACGAGAAAAGCUCUAGUGUAUACUAAGGUGCCCGUACCGCAAACCGACACAGGUAGAUGGGAUGAGUAUUCUAAGGCCAACGGGAGAAGGGUUGUUAAGGAACUCGGCAAAUUGGCCCCGUAACUUCGGGAUAAGGGGCGCCUGCGAGAGCAGGCCGCAGUGAAAAGGCCCAAGCGACUGUUUAGCAAAAACACAGCUCUCUGCUAAAUCGAAAGAUGACGUAUAGGGGGUGACGCCUGCCCGGUGCUGGAAGGUUAAGGGGAGUGCUUAGCGCAAGCGAAGGUGCGAACUUAAGCCCCAGUAAACGGCGGCCGUAACUAUAACGGUCCUAAGGUAGCGAAAUUCCUUGUCAGGUAAGUUCUGACCCGCACGAAUGGCGUAACGAUUUGGGCACUGUCUCAACAGCCCGCCCGGCGAAAUUGUAGUACCGGUGAAGAUGCCGGUUUCCCGCAACUAGACGGAAAGACCCCAUGGAGCUUCACUGUAGCUUGAUAUUGGAUCUCGGUAUUCCAUGUACAGGAUAGGUGGGAGGCUAGGAAGUAAGCGCGCCAGCGUUUAUGGAGCCAACCUUGGGAUACCACUCUUGGGAUAUUGGGAUUCUAACCUGCGACCAUGAAUCUGGUCGGGGGACACUGUCAGGUGGGCAGUUUGACUGGGGCGGUCGCCUCCAAAAGAGUAACGGAGGCGCUCAAAGGUUCGUUCAGCACGGAUGGAAAUCGUGCACUGAGUGUAAACGCAUAAACGAGCCUAACUGCGAGAAUGACGGUUCGAGCAGUAACGAAAGUUGGAGUUAGUGAUCCGGCGGUAUGUGAAUGGAAAUGCCGUCGCUCAACGGAUAAAAGCUACCCUGGGGAUAACAGGCUGAUCUCCCCCAAGAGUCCACAUCGACGGGGAGGUU
rnacentral:rRNA from 1 species